AUUGAACGCUGGCGGCAGGCCUAACACAUGCAAGUCGAGCGAGCGGCGGACGGGUGAGGAAUGUAUGGGGACUGCCCGAUAGAGGGGGAUAACUACUGGAAACGGUAGCUAAUACCGCAUACUAUCGGAUAACCCAUAUGGGAUUAGCUAGUAGGGGAGGUAAUGGCUCGCCUAGGCGACGAUCCCUAGCUGGGCUGAGAGGAUGAUCAGCCGCACUGUGACUUAGACACGGCCCAGCCGCCUACGGAGUCAGCAGUGGGGAAGAUUGCACAAUGGGCGCAAGCCUGAUGCAUCCAUGCCGCGUGUAUGAAGAAGGCCCUAGGGUUGUAAAGUACUUUCAGUCGGGAGGCGUUACCGACAGAAGAAGAACCGGCGAACUCCGUGCCAGCAGCCGCGGUAAUUC
rnacentral:rRNA from 1 species